AUUGAACGCUGGCGGCAUGCCUUACACGUGCAAGUCGAACGGCAGCACGGGUGCUUGCACCUGGUGGCGAGUGGCGAACGGGUGAGUAAUACAUCGGAACAUGUCCUGUAGUGGGGGAUAGCCCGGCGAAAGCCGGAUUAAUACCGCAUACGAUCUACGGAUGAAAGCGGGGGACCUUCGGGCCUCGCGCUAUAGGGUUGGCCGAUGGCUGAUUAGCUAGUUGGUGGGGUAAAGGCCUACCAAGGCGACGAUCAGUAGCUGGUCUGAGAGGACGACCAGGCACACUGUGACUGAGACACGGCCCAGACUCCUACGGGAGGCAGCAGUGGGGAAUUUUGGACAAUGGGGGAAACCCUGAUCCAGCAAUGCCGCGUGUGUGAAGAAGGCCUUCGGGUUGUAAAGCACUUUUGUCCGGAAAGAAAUCCUUAGCGCUAAUACCGCUGAGGGAUGACAGUACCUGAAGAAUAAGCACCGGCUAACUACGUGCCAGCAGCCGCUGUAAUAC
rnacentral:rRNA from 1 species